rnacentral:lncRNA from 1 species
CAUGGCUAGGUUUUCCCAGGAGUUUCAUUUUGCACAGCUGACGCAUUCCAGUCAUUGUUGGGAUGCAUUUCCUUCUCCUCUUUCCUUCCAGCCCCUGGACUAUGCCAUGUGUGCAUAUACAGGCUCCUAGGAUGAACAUCCUCAAAUCCCAACCUCUCUCCCAGAAGCUGUGUCUCUACAGAACUGUGUUGGCCGAGACUGCUCUCAACUGAAUUGGGCCCAGCUCAGAGAGGCAGCUGCUGGGUAUCAACUCAGCUUCCAGGCCAUUGUAGAAAACAUAGAACCAGCCAGGAAGCCAGACUCCUGUCCUGCCCCUGCAGCCCCUGGGCCAUCGCGAAGGUAAUAAUGGCUGUUAUCCCACAUAGCAUUCAGGAACUAGAAAGUUCAAGGGCAUGGAAGGCUUAUCUGUGUCAGCCUUUUCCUUUGGUAGCUUGUAGCAAAGCUGUUAGAAGUCAGAGUGGGAAGACAGAGGAGGGAGGAGAGUGAGUUGGCUGCAGACCAUGGCCAGAUGUCCAGAAACCAAAUCAUAAUAGUCUUUUCAACUGGUGUCCUUGAAUUCCUUGAGCUAUUCAUGGAAUUCUUAUAGCCUCAAAUAUCUGUUUAUAUCAUCAGCGUCAGUUCAAAUCAUGGACUUAACGGACAGUUCGGUAGACAAUCUUCAAUUUUAUCCCAGACAAGUGCUUUAUGGUUCAAUCAAUUAUUCUGCUUAGGUGAACACUUUGGGAUUAUAUCCAUAGAUCUGUUUCCAGUAAAAAUUUAGUUUUCAGAAUGUCGCUUUACCAAUUUUCACAAGUUUAUGCUUUGGAUAUGUCUGGAUUUUGCCCCAGAUUUCUCCCCACAACAGGCAUAUGAGCACAGCUAGGGUAGAAAUGCUACAUGUUUGGUUACUUGACUCUUUCUUAUCACAGGCAACUAACUACUGUAUCCAGAGAAGUCCCUGCUAACUUGAUUGUGAUGCCUCCUUCACUGGAGACUCUAGCAGUUUGUUGACUCUUGGCAUUUACAGUUGUUUGCUUAUUGAACAGUGUCAGGUUUCUAUGGCUCCGAGUGCUGGCUCGCAUUACAGUCAAGUGGAAGCAGGAAAAUUCAGACAAAGCCUUUCAUGGAAAGACAGGCCUGCCACAAUUUCAGGUUUCUUGGUAAAUGAAUAAAGAAAAGGGAGAUGUAAUCUGUCUUGACUUUUCCAGGAUUUUGACAGAGGAAGUUGUAGACUUGGAGAUGUGGGUAGGUCAUGUUGCAACUGGAGAUCAAACCUGCCUCCUCUCUGAGCAGGUGGUGUGUGAGAAUGUUGCUGGUAGGGUAGGAGCAGAGGGAUAAGGUCAGUGUGCAGGCCCAGCGUGGAGGAAGGAGUGCUAGCAGAGAGAGGGUCACCCAACCUCGAAGAUCUGGGAACAGAAAGGUGGCAAUCCGCACUAGGAAGGCUAGGUGAGGUAUGAGAACAUCCUGGCAGAUGGGCCAAGCAUAACUAGGAGUGGUGGAAAAGAGGUAGUCAGGUGGAGAGCACCAGGCAGCCAAAAUCAUGGCACCAUCUGGGAUUACAGGAUAGCCCCUCAUCCUGAGGGGGGGACUAGAGGUUACAAGAAGAGCAGUAAAACAGAGAAAGAACCAUGGUUAAAUCCUGAAAAAUCCUGUUUUUACAGUGGCUUGGUCACAGAAGAGUGAGGAAAAGGGAACAUUGAUCUCAUCUCAGGAUUUGAAUGGGGCUAUAUAGAUUUUACUUUUUUAAUUUAUUUUUUAAGAUUUUAUUUAUUUAUUCAUGAGAGACACACAGAGAGGCAGAGGGAAAACCAGUCUCCCUGCAGGGCGCCGGAUGUGGGACUGGAUCCCAGGACCCCAGGAUUAUGACCUGAGCCAAAGGUAGAUGCUCCACCACUGAGCCACCCAGGUGGGCUAUAUAGAUUUAGUCAUUCAUCUAUUCAACAAGUUUUAAUUGAGCAUCAACUCUGUGCCUGACACUGUUCGGGCUCAGGGAGUAG